AGCUCCAAUAGCGUAUAUUAAAGUUGUUGCAGUUAAAAAGCUCGUAGUUGAAAAUCUGGCCGGCACUACUCUCGGCUCCAGUAGUCGGGGUAGCGCCUGGUCAUCCGUAUGGGAAACUAGCUCGACCUUCACUGGUCGGCUAGUGGAUCAUACACUUUACUUUGAAAAAAUUAGAGUGUUUCAGGCAGGCAAUUGCUUGGAUACUGUAGCAUGGAAUAAUGGAAUAGGACUUUGACCUAUUUGUUGGUUUCUCGAGGUCAAAGUAAUGAUUAAUAGGGACAGUUGGGGGCAUUCGUAUUUAAUUGUCAGAGGUGAAAUUCUUGGAUUUUUUAAAGACGAACUUAUGCGAAAGCAUUUGCCAAGGAUGUUUUCA
rnacentral:rRNA from 1 species